rnacentral:misc_RNA from 1 species
GAAAUUGUGAAGCACCAAAAUAAGAGCUAUUUUCCCUCAGAGGAUGCAUGCCCUUCCAUUCCCAUGACUGAAUUGAUCUUGCUACUGAAUAUGCAACUCACUUAACUUCCUAGUUUAAGGACAAUGUCGAGACAAGUUUUGCAUAAAUGCUGCUGCCUAAUCACCAUGAUUUUUCCUUUCCUUUUCUUUUUAUCAUUUGAAAUAUUAUCAAUAGUCAAAGCCCUCUUUAAGUAACCUUUCAAGGGAUAAAGCAAGCUUCAAAGAUGCACAAACCGUCCAAAUUGUUUUCAUGGAUAAUUGGUUUAUUCGUUCUUUUAGGUAUCUUUAAUAAUGGGAUGACAAUAGGAUUUCCAAAUUACCAUUCUCAUCUCCCUUUGUUUAUUCCUAUUCUCCCUUAUGCACACUAGACCAUGUCAUGCAACAAACAAAUAAAAAAAUUUGAAAAGUUUCUUAGCUUCUAAUCUUGAGCAUUCCAUGUAGAAACACAUCCCAAGUUUUCCCUCUAGAGGAUGAUUGCAUAUGGAUGUUGACUAUGGCAUCCUUGUCCCUAACUAUUAAGAAACGGUCAAUUAAUUGGCUUUUAAUUGAGGAUUUGCUGCAUUCAAUUGCAAUGCCAAGAAAAAAAAAAUCAAUUAACUGUUGCCCACAUCAAAUAUGACAUAAAGAAAAAGCUCAUUUGACCUCUUUCUAACAAAUUCACUUUCGCCAUCAUAUGUUACCUUAACCACCUUUGUUGUGCACCUAUUAUGAUUCCAUUCCACACCUGAUAAUCAUUGAUUUUCAGAUGUUGUUUAUCAACAUCCUGCUUCACCACAUGGUCUUCAAUCUCAUUGCACACAUUGCCUCAAAGAAAUUUCUAAUUAAGCAGUUUAAUAAUUUGAUAAACACUACAAAUUCUUAAAAUCAUAUUGCUAUUAUCUUUAGAUUCACUUCAAAUAUUCAAGUUCACUUUAAUAGAGUACAACUAACUGAUAGAAGCUUAGCCUGAGUUCAACUGUGUUGAAAUUAGCCAAAAAGAAAAAAGAAAAAACUCAAAACGGUACUCAAAUCAUGCUGGUAAUGUGGUUGUCUAUCGCCAACCACUAUCAUAUGCUGUCCCCAACAACAUUGAUUUGCGACACCACCCACUCCUGAAUCUCCUCCUGGCAACUCCAAAAGUCUUCCAAUCUUAUCAUUGAAUAAGGUAUAGGGAAAAGAAAUGUGAAAUAAAUUGAAGAUUGGGGAAUAUAUUUUGUAAGGAUAAUCCCUCAAUUGUUGAUCAACUGUUGUUGUCUAUAGUAUAGCAUGAAUCAUUUAGCAAACUCUGAUCAAUUACUAAUUGACCAUGUUGUUGAAUUUGCUUCCUGAUCAUGAGAUAGGAUCACAAGUCAACGAACUUUAACUUCAUUUUUUUUUUCCUUGAAAGAAAGUAAGGUAAUUGUUUUUCAUCUUUAGUUGCUAUUUGCUUUAGCUUGCAAAAGGUUUGUUUCAGUUAAAAAUCAUAGGCCCACGAGUGUUGAUCAACAAAUAGGCAAGCCUCCAUGUCAUUUUGUUUUGGUAUUGCCCCAUUUAUAAACCCUUCCAUUUUCACAUGCACAGCCGAUGUGGGACAUUGUCUCUUAAGUCCAUAUUCCAACACUGCUUCUCAAAUGUAGCUGGGUUCAGCUCAGAGCCUCAGACUUCAUAGACCCAAUUGUUACUUGGCAUUGCAUGGGAUGACUCAUCUAAUUUGGGUAUGGCUCCUCUUGGCUUUGCUCUCAAAGUCUAGCUUCUCUUAGCUAGCCCAUGGGUCGACCUAAGUCUGGCUUAUAUUGGCUCAGCUCACAAGUUUGGGUCAUUCAGGCUCAGUCCACAAUAUUUUUGGGCCCAGAUCUAUGGCCGUUGGGCAUCACUGCUUCAAUACCAUAUUGAAAAUUAAGGCCCACAAGUGUGGAUCGAUAAAAACCCAAACCACCAUGCUAAAAUGGGCUUGAAAUUGGGCUACCUAUUGCCAAAAUGGCCUAAGGCAUUUUGGUUUGGCUUUGACCCAUUUAUAAACCCUUUCAUUUUCUCAAGUGCCACUGAUGUGGGACUUUGUCCUUUAAGUCCAUAUUCCAACAGUUUCUUGCAUAGAUCACAUUCCUAAGUGGUCAUUUUCUAUCUUAUUUGAUGUCCCUUAAAAAAAAGGAUAUACCAAACACAAAUACUCUUUUUGUUGGCUGCCCAUCUACUUACCCGCCAAGACUACAUUUUUUUUAUAGAACUAACAAAAGAAUAUUUAGCCACCAAGACUGCUCACUUUCAUCCACCAUCCCUCCAUUGCCCCUCUCUCGAAGAAAAAGAAAUAACUCUUGAAUAUAUGCAAGCCCUGCAUUUGAGGAUAAAGAAAUUACUUCUGAAUUUGGUACGAGUGGUGUUCUGUUCCUAGACUGAUAUAUUUCAAGAUGACAAGAUCUGUAUCAAAUGGCAACUACACAAAAUUGUUGCCCAAAUAUGCUCUUUUGAAAGAUAAGUUAACUAUGAAAUUCUCCUUCUCUCUCUAAUACCAGUAUAUUUUACACAUAACUUUUGCCUUGUGAUGCAGUCAAUGAAAACUAGAUUUAGGAAUUAUUUUUUUGAAUUUUUAAUUGUGAAAUUAAGAUAUUUAGUUUGCAUUUUCUAGUAAAAUUUUUAUUAGGAAGUUUAGAUUUCUAUUUUUUAGGAAUAUUUAAAAAGUUACAGUAGGUUUAGAAUUUCAUAGGUAGUAUUAGUUCAGUAUUUUCCUAUUUUGAGAUUCCUAAUUCUUGUAGUAGUAGGAUUAGUUAUUAGUC